rnacentral:rRNA from 1 species
GACGAACGCUGGCGGCGUGCUUAACACAUGCAAGUCGAACGAUGAAGCCGGAGCUUGCUCUGGUGAAUUAGUGGCGAACGGGUGAGUAACACGUGAGUAACCUGCCCUUGACUCUGGGAUAACUGCUAGAAAUGGUAGCUAAUACCGGAUACGACCCUCGGAGGCAUCUCCAGGGGGUGGAAAGAAUUUCGGUCAAGGAUGGACUCGCGGCCUAUCAGCUAGUUGGUGAGGUAACGGCUCACCAAGGCGACGACGGGUAGCCGGCCUGAGAGGAUGACCGGGCACACUGGGACCGAGACACGGCCCAGACUCCUACGGGAGGCAGCAGUGGGGAAUAUUGCACAAUGGGCGCAAGCCUGAUGCAGCAACGCCGCGUGAGGGAUGACGGCCUUCGGGUUGUAAACCUCUUUUAGUAGGGAAGAAGCGAAAGUGACGGUACCUGCAGAAAAAGCACCGGCUAACUACGUGCCAGCCGCCGCGGUAA